UUUCGAUCACUGCUUCAGUCUUGUUACUAGAUAAUGGUCUAUUCAGGUUGUCAAUUUCUUUCUGAUUCAGUUUUGGACAUUUAUAGGUUUCCAGGAAUGCUUCAAGUU